GACGAACGCUGGCGGCGUGCUUAACACAUGCAAGUCGAACGGAAAGGCCCUGCUUUUGUGGGGUGCUCGAGUGGCGAACGGGUGAGUAACACGUGAGUAACCUGCCCUUGACUUUGGGAUAACUUCAGGAAACUGGGGCUAAUACCGGAUAGGAGCUCCUGCUGCAUGGUGGGGGUUGGAAAGUUUCGGCGGUUGGGGAUGGACUCGCGGCUUAUCAGCUUGUUGGUGGGGUAGUGGCUUACCAAGGCUUUGACGGGUAGCCGGCCUGAGAGGGUGACCGGCCACAUUGGGACUGAGAUACGGCCCAGACUCCUACGGGAGGCAGCAGUGGGGAAUAUUGCACAAUGGGCGGAAGCCUGAUGCAGCAACGCCGCGUGCGGGAUGACGGCCUUCGGGUUGUAAACCGCUUUCGCCUGUGACGAAGCGUGAGUGACGGUAAUGGGUAAAGAAGCACCGGCUAACUACGUGCCAGCAGCCGCGGUGAUACGUAGGGUGCGAGCGUUGUCCGGAUUUAUUGGGCGUAAAGGGCUCGUAGGUGGUUGAUCGCGUCGGAAGUGUAAUCUUGGGGCUUAACCCUGAGCGUGCUUUCGAUACGGGUUGACUUGAGGAAGGUAGGGGAGAAUGGAAUUCCUGGUGGAGCGGUGGAAUGCGCAGAUAUCAGGAGGAACACCAGUGGCGAAGGCGGUUCUCUGGGCCUUUCCUGACGCUGAGGAGCGAAGCGUGGGGAGCGAACAGGCUUAGAUACCCUGGUAGUCCACGCUGUAAACGGUGGGUACUAGGUGUGGGGUCCAUUCCACGGGUUCCGUGCCGUAGCUAACGCUUUAAGUACCCCGCCUGGGGAGUACGGCCGCAAGGCUAAAACUCAAAGGAAUUGACGGGGCCCCGCACAAGCGGCGGAGCAUGCGGAUUAAUUCGAUGCAACGCGUAGAACCUUACCUGGGUUUGACAUGGGUCGGGAGUGCUCAGAGAUGGGUGUGCCUCUUUUGGGGUCGGUUCACAGGUGGUGCAUGCCUGUCGUCAGCUCGUGUCGUGAGAUGUUGGGUUAAGUCCCGCAACGAGCGCAACCCUUGUUCACUGUUGCCAGCACGUUAUGGUGGGGACUCAGUGGAGACCGCCGGGGUCAACUCGGAGGAAGGUGGGGAUGACGUCAAGUCCUCAUGCCCCUUAUGUCCAGGGCUUCACGCAUGCUACAAUGGCUGGUACAGAGAGUGGCGAGCCUGUGAGGGUGAGCGAAUCUCGGAAAGCCGGUCUCAGUUCGGAUUGGGGUCUGCAACUCGACCUCAUGAAGUCGGAGUCGCUAGUAAUCGCAGAUCAGCAACGCUGCGGUGAAUAAAUUCCCGGGGCU
rnacentral:rRNA from 1 species